rnacentral:misc_RNA from 1 species
UCUCGCUUACGCGAGCAGUCUCAUUAGAGUCCCCAGCAUUACCUGAUGGCAACUAAUGAUAGGGGUUGCGCUCGUUGCGGGACUUAACCCAACACCUCACGGCACGAGCUGACGACGGCCAUGCAGCACCUAGUUUCGUGUCCUUGCGGACUGUAAUGUUUCCACUACAUUCACUAACUUUCAAGCCCGGGUAAGGUUCCUCGCGUACCGUCGAAUUAAACCACAUGCUCCUCCGCUUGUGCGGGUCCCCGUCAAUUCCUUUGAGUUUUAAUCUUGCGACCGUACUCCCCAGGCGGUCGACUUCACGCGUUAGCUGCGGUACUAAGGAAGUCUCCUUCCCCAACACCUAGUCGACAUCGUUUAGGGCGUGGACUAC